rnacentral:lncRNA from 1 species
UUUUUUUUUUUUUUUUUGUUCCUCCAAGAUCCUUCGUAGCCGGCGUUUCUGCAAGAUACUCUAGUUGGUGGUGAGAGAUUUUGGAAUUCCACUCUGUAGGUUCCACUGGUGGGGUCAAAGACGUAAGUGCUGGAAAUGACUUUUCCCACUGGGAGUGAAAAUCUAAUGCUUGUCCAUCCAUUACAAGACGGUGAAGAAACGGUUGAUGCCCGAAUGGUGUGCAGAAAAAUCAAAAUGCCUUGGGAUGUAGAAGUUCUCAUGGACAGUAGAGCUUCUUAACUCUCAAAAACUCCUUGUAAAGCUUGCCAAUAGAUAUCGGCAAAGUUUUGAUUAUAGCAAUUGAUAGAUCAAGAUAAAAGCAAGUGUAUCGACUUGCUAAUUUUUGUUGGCAACUGAUUAAUAUCUACCUAAGUCAGCAUAAAAAAAAGUGCAAAAGUUUGCAGGUGAACACGACAUCAAAUGUAUUAGCCUCCAAAAACAAUAUUAAUAGACUACUUGCCAUUUCCUUCCUGAAAGUGCAUGUGUGUUCUCCAAAUGAUUUAAAUUCAAGGUAACAAAUUUUGCAAAUAUUCUCUGCAUCAGAUUUUCCCAAAGCUCAAAAUAGAUUGUGCAAGAUCAUAUACGUUACAAUGUGUUAAAUUGUAAUACUCAUUGACUUUUACAUGUAGCAAUAAUCGUGUAUACUGCACUGAGACAUCCCUAACAUAGAACUGAAGCCAGCAUAAUGGUGUAUACUGUAUUGAGGCAUACAUAACAUAGGCAUAGACAAGUAUUUUCUGAGAAUUUGAGCAAAUUUUGACAACUUAGCAUCCAAUUAGAAUA